rnacentral:rRNA from 1 species
GAUGAACGCUAGCGGGAGGCUUAAUACAUGCAAGUCGAGGGGUAACAGGGGCUUCGGCCCGCUGACGACCGGCGCACGGGUGAGUAACGCGUACGCAACUUACCUCCAAGCGAGGGAUAGCCCUGGGAAACUGGGAUUAAUACCUCAUGUGAUUAUGAUGCCGCAUGGUGUUAUAAUUAAAGUUCAGGCGCUUGGAGAUGGGCGUGCGUCCUAUUAGCUAGUUGGUGAGGUAACGGCUCACCAAGGCGACGAUAGGUAGGGGCGUGAGAGCGUGGCCCCCACCACGGGUACUGAGACACGGACCCGACUCCUACGGGAGGCAGCAGUAAGGAAUAUUGGACAAUGGCGGCAAGCCUGAUCCAGCCAUCCCGCGUGCAGGA